UGGGGAAUAUUGCGCAAUGGGCGAAAGCCUGACGCAGCGACGCCGCGUGAGGGAUGAAGGUUUUCGGAUCGUAAACCUCUGUCAGAAGGGAAGAAACCGCACUGUGCUAAUCAGCAGUGCCUUGACGGUACCUUCAAAGGAAGCACCGGCUAACUCCGUGCCAGCAGCCGCGGUAAUACGGAGGGUGCAAGCGUUAAUCGGAAUUACUGGGCGUAAAGCGCACGUAGGCUGCUUUGUAAGUCAGGGGUGAAAUCCCACGGCUCAACCGUGGAACUGCCUUUGAUACUGCUUAGCUUGAAUCCGGGAGAGGGUGGCGGAAUUCCAGGUGGAGGAGUGAAAUCCGUAGAUAUCUGGAGGAACAUCAGUGGCGAAGGCGGCCACCUGGACCGGUAUUGACGCUGAGGUGCAAAAGCGUGGGGAGCAAACAGG
rnacentral:rRNA from 1 species